CUGUCUGGAGUGCACUGGCAGCCCUUAACAGUUUUCACAAAAUGUAAACUAGAAGUAAUAAUCCCUGCUUCCCAAGGAUGACAGAGAAUAGAAAUGAGUUCGGUUCCUUAAAGGCGCUUGCAUUCAGAAGGUGAAAUUAUUUUACUGCGCUUUCACCUGUCUCCUGGUUCACCACUAUUACUCCCUUGGUCUGCCACCAUUCUGCUAAAAGCCAUCCCCUUUGAGCUUGUACUAUCUGGAUAUACCACUGACAUACGCAAAAGAAAGGAAACCUGAAAGGCCCAGAGUGCUGAUGGAGUAAGUGAAGGCAGAGCCUUGAGGAAAUUUUUUUCUUGGCUCUUCAUCAUGAAGACCUCGGGAGAUUUCUGGAGGUAAAACCAGUGGAAAUAUGGAGGCACCUCUAAGACUGUUGUCCCCAGGAGUUUCUCAUUCUCACACUAGAUGACACUCAGCCUCCAUCAGCUCACCAAAAUUACCAUUUAGUUGCUCCUAUCAGUUGUGGCUGCACAGGUUUGUGCUCCAGCAGGUGCCUGGAACCUGCUAUUUUGAGGACCUCAAGAAGAGAGGAAUCUACCAAAAUCUGAAUGUGAUGAUCCCAGACAGAGAGUCUAUGCUGAUAACCAUCAUCGAAUGACAACUGAAAGAUCUGGUGUGGUGACUCCUAGUCUGUAACACGAGAAAGUCAACAUUCCUAACUCCCUCCCCUAAAACCCACUGGCCUAUAUAACUGCUUCAAGAUUCUUGUGCCCUCCUUAAGAUGGUUCUUUAGGACACUAUUCCUCCCAUCUUCCAAUUUGCUAGCAUAUUGCUUAAUAAAAUGCCCUUUUUCUGCCACGAUCUUGCCUCUUGACAAUUGGCUUUUGUCUUGUGGCAAGUAGAUUGUGCCAUUUGUGCAGUAAUGUACACACAAUAUUUCUAAGUGUUGGUAUGAAAAAAGAAUGUAAAAUGUUCCAUUAAUAAUUAUUUGUGUUAAUUACAUAUUGAAAUGAU
rnacentral:lncRNA from 1 species